rnacentral:rRNA from 1 species
CACGUAGGGGGCAAGCGUUGUCCGGAUUUAUUGGGCGUAAAGAGCUCGUAGGCGGCUAAGUAAGUCGGGUGUCAAAUCCCCAGGCUCAACCUGGGACCCCACCCGAUACUGCUUUGGCUAGAGUCCGGUAGGGGAGCAUGGAAUUCCUGGUGUAGCGGUGAAAUGCGCAGAUAUCAGGAGGAACACCAGCGGCGAAGGCGGUGCUCUGGGCCGGAACUGACGCUGAGGAGCGAAAGCGUGGGUAGCAAACAGG